rnacentral:rRNA from 1 species
UGGGGAAUAUUGCGCAAUGGGGGAAACCCUGACGCAGCGACGCCGCGUGUGGGAUGAAGGUCUUCGGAUUGUAAACCACUGUCGCGAGGGACGAAGCUCUGACGGUACCUCGAAAGGAAGCACCGGCUAACUCUGUGCCAGCAGCCGCGGUAAUACAGAGGGUGCGAGCGUUGUCCGGAAUCACUGGGCAUAAAGCGCACGUAGGCGGCUAGGUCCGUCCGAUGUGAAAGCCCCCGGCUCAACCGGGGAAUUGCAUCGGAUACAGCCUGGCUUGAGGACGGUUGGGGUGAGUGGAACUCCUGGUGGAGCGGUGAAAUGCGUAGAUAUCAGGAGGAACACCGGUGGCGAAAGCGGCUCACUGGACCGUUACUGACGCUGAGGUGCGAAAGCUAGGGGAGCAAACGGGAUUAGAUACCCCGGUAGUCCCUGAGCGGGCUGGCAAGGCGCAU